rnacentral:sRNA from 1 species
UUUGUUUUGCAGCUUUCUACGUCUUAAGGCAGAGAAUAGCCAGGAUAAGGUGCCAGCUCAAAGGAAGCAAAUAUAAAAACAAAGUCCACCAAAUGAAAUUACUAACACCAGCCUAUCAUUAACCUGAGGGAGUUGUAUUUCAUAUUCAUUAAUUCUCCAUGGAACAAUUCAGCUGUGUGCCAACCACGAUGCAAACAUGGUGAAUGUAUCGGGCCAAACAAGUGCAAGUGUCAUCCUGGUUAUGCUGGAAAAACCUGUAAUCAAGAUCUAAAUGAGUGUGGCCUGAAGCCCCGGCCCUGUAAGCACAGAUGCAUGAACACUUACGGCAGCUACAAGUGCUACUGUCUCAACGGAUAUAUGCUCAUGCCGGAUGGUUCCUGCUCAAGUGCCCUGACCUGCUCCAUGGCAAACUGUCAGUAUGGCUGUGAUGUUGUUAAAGGACAAAUACGGUGCCAGUGCCCAUCCCCUGGCCUGCAGCUGGCUCCUGAUGGGAGGACCUGUGUAGAUGUUGAUGAAUGUGCUACAGGAAGAGCCUCCUGCCCUAGAUUUAGGCAAUGUGUCAACACUUU